rnacentral:rRNA from 1 species
UGCUUGUCUCAAAGAUUAAGCCAUGCACGUGUAAGUACACGGCCUUUAUAUGGUGAAACUGCGAAUGGCUCAUUAAAUCAUAUGUGAUUUCUUAGAUCGUACCGUUCCUUCGGGAACGUGUGGAUAACUGUGGUAAUUCUAGAGCUAAUACAUGCAAUCAAGCUCCAACCUUCGGGGACGAGCGCUCUUAUUAGACCAAGGCCAACCUGUGGGGCAACUCGCAGUUAGCUGUGGUGACUCUGGAUAACACUCAGUUGAUCGCACGACCUUUGCGUCGGCGACGUAUCUUUCAAGCGUAUGCCCUAUCACUUGUCGACGUUAGGUUAUUCGCCUAUCGUGAGUACUACGGGUAGCGGGGGAUCAGGGUUCGAUCCCGGAGAGGGGGCAUGAGAAAUGGCCACCACAUCCAAGGAAGGCAGCAGGCGCGCAAAUUACCCAAUGGCGACACGCCGAGGUAGUGACGAAAAAUAACAAUACGGGACUCUUUCGAGGCCCCGUAAUUGGAAUGAGCACAAUCCAAAUCCUUUAGCGAGGAUCUAUUGGAGGGCAAGUCUGGUGCCAGCAGCCGCGGUAAUUCCAGCUCCAAUAGCGUAUAUUAAAGUUGCUGCAGUUAAAAAGCUCGUAGUUGGAUCUCGGGUAUCGUCUAGGUGGUCCUGUUCACGCAGGUACUGCCCUGAUGACCUAAACAGUGGCUGUCUCCUCACGGAGCUUUCGCCCCGAGUGCCCUUCAUUGGGUGCCCGUGGGUGGCCACUGCGUUUACUUUGAAAAAAUUAGAGUGUUCAAAGCAGGCUUGCAUAGCCCGAAUAUUCGUGCAUGGAAUAAUGGAAAACGACCCUGGUACAUUUCCGUUGGUCUCUGUGACUAGGGUAAUGAUUAAGAGGGACUGCCGGGGGCAUUGGUAUGGCGGCGUUAGAGGUGAAAUUCUUGGAUCGUCGCCAGACCAACAACAGCGAAAG